rnacentral:rRNA from 1 species
GACGAACGCUGGCGGCGUGCCUAAUACAUGCAAGUAGAACGCUGAAGGCGGAGCUUGCUUCUCUGGAUGAGUUGCGUACGGGUGAGUAACGCGUAGGUAACCUGCCUGGUAGCGGGGGAUAACUAUUGGAAACGAUAGCUAAUACCGCAUAAUAGUAGAUGUUGCAUGACAUUUGCCUAAAAGGUGCAAUUGCAUCACUACCAGAUGGACCUGCGUUGUAUUAGCUAGUGGGUGGGGUAACGGAUCACCAAGGCGGCGAUACAUAGCCGACAUGAGAGGGGGGUCGGCCACACUGAGACUGUGACACGGCCCAGACUCCUACGGGUGGCAGCAGGAGGGAAUCUUCGGGCAGGGGUGGAAGUCUGACCGAGCUACGCCGAGGGAGUGAAGAACGUCGUCGGAUCGUAAAGCUCUGUUGUAAGAGAAGAACGAGUGUUAGAGUGGAAAGUUCACACUGUGACGGUAUCUUACCAGAAAGGGACGGCUAACUACGUG